rnacentral:rRNA from 1 species
UUGCACGCUGGCGGCAGGCCUAACCCAUGCAAGUCGAACGGUAACAGGAAACAGCUUGCUGCUUCGCUGACGAGUGGCGGACGGGUGAGUAAUGUCUGGGAAACUGCCUGAUGGAGGGGGAUAACUACUGGAAACGGUAGCUAAUACCGCAUAACGUCGCAAGACCAAAGAGGGGGACCUUAGGGCCUCUUGCCAUCGGAUGUGCCCAGAUGGGAUUAGCUAGUAGGUGGGGUAACGGCUCACCUAGGCGACGAUCCCUAGCUGGUCUGAGAGGAUGACCAGCCACACUGGAACUGAGACACGGUCCAGACUCCUACGGGAGGCAGCAGUGGGGAAUAUUGCACAAUGGGCGCAAGCCUGAUGCAGCCAUGCCGCGUGUAUGAAGAAGGCCUUCGGGUUGUAAAGUACUUUCAGCGGGGAGGAAGGGAGUAAAGUUAAUACCUUUGCUCAUUGACGUUACCCGCAGAAGAAGCGCCGGCUAACUCCGUG